GGUUAAGCGACUAAGCGUACACGGUGGAUGCCCUGGCAGUCAGAGGCGAUGAAGGGCGUGCUAAUCUGCGAUAAGCGCCGGUAAGGUGAUAUGAACCGUUAUAACCGGCGAUACCCGAAUGGGGAAACCCAGUGUGAYUCGUCACACUAUCAUUAACUGAAUCCAUAGGUUAAUGAGGCGAACCGGGGGAACUGAA
rnacentral:rRNA from 1 species